GCGGGAUUGCCCCAGUAGCGGCGAGUGAAGCGGCAAAAGCUCCUAUUUGAAAGCGCUUUUGCGCGUUGUAGAAAGGGGCGGUCUUGAAGGCGGCGCGCAGCUAAGUCCCCUGGAACGGGGCGCCACAGAGGGUGAGAGCCCCGUGCGCUGUGCCAAGCCGGUAAGUCCGCUCUGCGGAGUCGAGUUGUUUGGGAAUGCAGCUCUAAGUGGGUGGUAAAUUCCAUCUAAGGCUAAAUAGCGGCGAGAGACCGAUAGCGAACAAGUACAGUGAUGGAAAGAUGAAAAGCACUUUGAAAAGAGAGUGAAACAGUACGUGAAAUUGUUGAAAGGGAAGGGUAUUUGGCCCGACAUGGGUCCUGUGCACCGCUGUUCCUUGUGGACGGCGCUCUGCUGGGGCCUGGGCCAGCAUCAGUUUUCUGGCGGGGAGAAUGGCGUGCGAACCACGUAGUGGGGACCGCGUCGAUGCCCGCACGGGGGACUGAGGACUGCCGCAGUAGGAUGCUGGCACAACGGCCAAAUACCGCCCGUCUUGAAACACGGAC
rnacentral:rRNA from 2 species